GUAGGGAAUAUUGGUCAAUGGGUGAGAGCCUGAACCAGCCAUGCCGCGUGCAGGAAGACGGCCUUCUGGGUUGUAAACUGCUUUUGCCAGGGGCUAAAAAGCCCAUGCGUGGGAAAUUGAAAGUACCUGGUGAAUAAGCCACGGCUAACUACGUGCCAGCAGCCGCGGUAAUACGUAGGUGGCAAGCGUUGUCCGGAUUUAUUGGGUUUAAAGGGUGCGUAGGCGGCCUAUUAAGUCAGUGCUGAAAUAUCCCGGCUUAACCGGGAGGGUGGCAUUGAUACUGAUGGGCUAGAGUACAGAUGAGGUAGGCGGAAUUGACGGUGUAGCGGUGAAAUGCUUAGAUAUCGUCAAGAACACCUAUAGCGAAGGCAGCUUACUAGGCUGUAACUGACGCUGAGGCACGAAAGUGUGGGGAUCAAACAGG
rnacentral:rRNA from 1 species